UUUGGAGGGCAAGUCUGGUGCCAGCAGCCGCGGUAAUUCCAGCUCCAAUAGCGUAUAUUAAAGUUGUUGCAGUUAAAAAGCUCGUAGUUGAAUUUCGGGAUCAAUAUGUCGGUCGUGCCUUGGUACGUACUGGUAUCAUUGGUUUCUCCUUUCUGACGAACCAUGAUGUCAUUAAUUUGGUGUUAUGGGAAGUUAGGACUGUUACUUUGAAAAAAUUAGAGUGUUUAAAGCAGGCUUUAGCUUGAAUACAUUAGCAUGGAAUAAUGAAAUAGGACGUUCGAACCUAUUUUGUUGGUUUCUAGGAUCAACGUAAUGAUUAAUAGGGAUAGUUGGGGGCAUUAGUAUUCAAUUGUCAGAGGUGAAAUUCUUGGAUUUAUUGAAGACUAACUACUGCGAAAGCAUUUGCCAAGGAUGUUUUCAUUAAUCAAGAACGAAAGUUAGGGGAUCGAAGACGAUCAGAUACCGUCGUAGUCUUAACCAUAAACUAUGCCGACUAGGGAUCGG
rnacentral:rRNA from 1 species